rnacentral:lncRNA from 1 species
GGAUAUAAAAUUAAUAUUAUUAUUAAACAUGUUUAUUUUAAAUUUGACAAUAAAUGUAUUAGACAUUACAAAAUAAUAUUAUUAAAAACCUCAAAUUUGCAUAUACAUAAGGAAGAAAUCAUGAGUAUAAAAAAUUUAGUAAUUAUUUUAAUGAAACAUAAUUAAAUAUUUUUGACUUCAUAUUACAAAUUUAUUUUUUUGCAUAUGCUUACAGUAAGUUCAAUUCACAAAUUACUUUCUUUUCUACCGUUACGGAUAAUGGAAAGCAAAUCAUAUUCUAAAAAGAUCAAAUGGGGGUAUACGAUACAAACAAGAAGUAAGUUCAACUUGGGCAAUAGUAAUAAGAAGUAAGUAAAUUAUACCAACCAUAUUAAUAAUAUAUUAUGCGCUACAUGCAAAUUACAUAUAAUACUUUUUUUUAGACAAAUUGUUGUCUAUAUAUAUAACCUACCUUGAUUCAAGAUUGUUACAUCUCAAAUUUGUUUAAUAUCUAAAUAAACCGUUGAUAAAAAUUUAAGCUUACAGUAGUGUGUCAUUUUCAUGUUAGGCCUUUCAAAUUUUUUUAAAAUUUUAAAUUAUUAAAAGUAAAAUUAUAAAAAU